AGAGUUUGAUCCCUUUUCAGGAUGAACGCUAGCGACAGGCUUAACACAUGCAAGUCGAGGGGCAGCGGGGGCGUAGCAAUAUGCCUGCCGGCGACCGGCGCACGGGUGAGUAACACGUAUGUAACCUGCCCUAUGCAGGGGGGAUAACCCGGAGAAAUCCGGCCUAAUACCGCGUAACACCUUAGGGGAGCAUUCUCUUGAGGUUAAAGGAGAGAUCCGGCAUAGGAUGGACAUGCGUCGCAUUAGGUAGACGGCGGGGUAACGGCCCACCGUGCCGACGAUGCGUAGGGGUUCUGAGAGGAAGGCCCCCCACACUGGUACUGAGACACGGACCAGACUCCUACGGGAGGCAGCAGUGAGGAAUAUUGGUCAAUGGCCGAGAGGCUGAACCAGCCAAGUCGCGUGAGGGAAGAAUGUCCUAAGGAUUGUAAACCUCUUUUGUCGGGGAGCAAAAAGGCUCUGCGGAGUCGUAUUGAGAGUACCCGAAGAAAAAGCAUCGGCUAACUCCGUGCCAGCAGCCGCGGUAAUACGGAGGAUGCGAGCGUUAUCCGGAUUUAUUGGGUUUAAAGGGUGCGCAGGCGGCGUGUCAAGCAAGCGGUAAAAUAGCGGGGCUCAACCCCGUCGAGCCGUUUGAACUGGCGCGCUUGAGUUCAGGCGAGGUAGGCGGAAUUCGUGGUGUAGCGGUGAAAUGCAUAGAUAUCACGAAGAACUCCGAUUGCGAAGGCAGCUUACCAGUCUGCGACUGACGCUCAGGCACGAAAGUGUGGGUAUCGAACAGGAUUAGAUACCCUGGUAGUCCACACAGUAAACGAUGAGCGCUAGGUGUCCGGGUCGCAUGAGACUUGGGUGCCCGAGCGAAAGCGUUAAGCGCUCCACCUGGGGAGUACGCCGGCAACGGUGAAACUCAAAGGAAUUGACGGGGGCCCGCACAAGCGGAGGAACAUGUGGUUUAAUUCGAUGAUACGCGAGGAACCUUACCCGGGCUCAAACGACUCAGGAAUAUAUUGGAAACGAUGUAGCCAGCAAUGGUCUGAGUCGAGGUGCUGCAUGGUUGUCGUCAGCUCGUGCCGUGAGGUGUCGGCUUAAGUGCCAUAACGAGCGCAACCCCUACCGCCAGUUGCCAACGGGUAAAGCCGGGAACUCUGGCGGGACUGCCGGCGCAAGCUGCGAGGAAGGCGGGGAUGACGUCAAAUCAGCACGGCCCUUACGUCCGGGGCGACACACGUGUUACAAUGGCAGGUACAGCGGGAAGCCACCUGGUGACAGGGAGCGGAACCCGAAAGCCGUUCUCAGUUCGGAUCGGAGUCUGCAACCCGACUCCGUGAAGCUGGAUUCGCUAGUAAUCGCGCAUCAGCCAUGGCGCGGUGAAUACGUUCCCGGGCCUUGCACACACCGCCCGUCA
rnacentral:rRNA from 1 species